CCGCGUGCCUUGUCAUGCGAUCUCGAGCGGACGAUUCACAAGCUUGCUUUUGGAUCGUUAGCGGCGGACGGGUGAGUAACACGUGGGCAACCUGCCCUGUAGACGGGGAUAACACCGAGAAAUCGGUGCUAAUACCGGAUAACACGAAAGGUCGCAUGGUCUUUCGUUGAAAGACGGCGCAAGCUGUCGCUACAGGAUGGGCCCGCGGCGCAUUAGCUAGUUGGUGAGGUAACGGCUCACCAAGGCGACGAUGCGUAGCCGACCUGAGAGGGUGAUCGGCCACACUGGGACUGAGACACGGCCCAGACUCCUACGGGAGGCAGCAGUAGGGAAUCUUCCGCAAUGGACGAAAGUCUGACGGAGCAACGCCGCGUGAGCGAAGAAGGCCUUCGGGUCGUAAAGCUCUGUUGUUAGGGAAGAACAAGUACCGCAGUCACUGGCGGUACCUUGACGGUACCUAACGAGGAAGCCACGGCUAACUACGUGCCAGCAGCCGCGGUAAUACGUAGGUGGCAAGCGUUGUCCGGAAUUAUUGGGCGUAAAGCGCGCGCAGGCGGUUCCUUAAGUCUGAUGUGAAACCCACGGCUCAACCGUGGAGGUCAUUGGAAACUGGGGGACUUGAGUGCAAAAAAGAAAANCCGAAAUUCCCC
rnacentral:rRNA from 1 species